CAUAGAGUGUACUCCAUUAUCAAAAAACGAACAAGGACCAGGUGUUUAUCCACGAUAUCGUGGAGAAAGGCAUCAGGCUCCAUUGCCAAAAAAUGGACAGGGGGGCCCAAUGCUCCGGGGCCCAAAACCACAAAUAUACGGAGCACUGGAGGAACCCAGCAACCCCAUCAGGGUAGUGCCCAGGACACAUUGUCCAUCAGAUCCCUC
rnacentral:lncRNA from 1 species